AUCAUAACCAAUCGUUGGGCACUCAGAUGUUACCCCAUACUACAAUAUAUACAGACUACUUUGAACCAUGUUGACAGAUAGCGAGAAGAUACGGCUUUUAAUUAGCUGUGCAAUUAGGAAUCACUGGAAAAACGAACAACAUGAAGCUUGUCUGUUAUGCCGUGGCUCUGCUGAUUGUCACCUACAUUCAACAUUCGUCGGCAUGGCUUAAUAACAACUUGUUGACGGUUUUGGUGUUACCGCCCUAAAGCCCACAGCUAAAGGUACUGGUAUUUUUGUGUCUAGGUAAUCGUAUCACCUGAGGAUAAUGUUUUGUGUACCGUACUUUUAUUUUAUUAUUCUAUAUAUCGCCAUAUGUGUACUUGUUGUUGGUUAUAAAUAAUGAUUUAAGAUUACCGGUGAUUGAUUAAUGUUCAGUCGUUUAACGUACGGUAAUUCUGUACUGUAUAGUAUGCCUAUAUUUGAUGUUUACUGUAGCGAUGUUAAAUAUUGCUCAGUGUAUGGUUCUUUCUUUUGUUUAAGCGAUCUGCUAUGAUCUGUAGAUAAUAACUAGACUGCAGAGUGUAUAUAUAUAUAUUUUUUUUGUUUUAAUGUGUUUUUAUAUGGUCUUUUAUGACUGUUUAUGUAUAGUUGUGAUUGUAUUUUAAUAAUGCCAUUUUUGCUUAUAGGGUUUAUUCGACUAUAUAACCAUAUUCUCUGGAAUAAAGAACCCUAUCUAUACCAAUCUUCACCGAGUCAGUUGUCUUUUC